GCCGGGCAUGGUGGCGCACGCCUGUCAUCCCAGUGGCUCGGGAGGCUGAGGCAGGAGGAUCUCGAGGUCAGAGCCAGCCUCGGCAACUUAGCGAGGUCCCAAAGCAACUCAGUGAGACCCUGCCUCUA
rnacentral:sRNA from 1 species